rnacentral:rRNA from 1 species
UUCCCGGGCCUUGUACACACCGCCCGUCACACCACGAAAGUUGGCAAUACCCGAAGCCGGUGGCCUAACCCGCAAGGGAGGGAGCCGUCUAAGGUAGGGUUGAUGAUUGGGUG